rnacentral:lncRNA from 13 species
CUAAUAUCAGCAAGAUGGUGGAAUAGGACUUUCCAACACUCAUCCAUCCUCUCAUAGAAACAACAAUUUGAACAACUGUCCAUGCAUGGAAAUGCCUUCACAAGCACUAAGGAAACCAGGUGUUGCAGUAAUUUACAUUCCUAUCAACAGUGUGAGACUAAGGACCCUGGUGCUCUUCCAGUCAUUUCAGCCGUAUCACAACUACCCUGAGAGAGGCUUUGCAAACAGCUACUUUAACAUCAAACUACAUGCAAUUUGUUUUCACUGCUGGACUUCCAUAAUUGUGAAGCUGUGAUUAUCAGAAUUUCUGAUUCAAAGAUUCUUGCAGGCCCUGUUGACUGGAGGGUGGCCAUUUGAUAACACAGAUUCUUUCCUGAGGAGACUUUGGCUUCUGGUGACUUGGGUCCCGGGCAGGUAUGUGCCAGUCACAAACUUUGUCUCAUCCUAGGCUUCUCGGUCCCUGUGCCUCUAUCUUGAAUUUGAUUUUGAGAAGAAG